rnacentral:rRNA from 1 species
CGGCUAACUCCGUGCCAGCAGCCGCGGUAAUACGGAGGGUGCAAGCGUUAUCCGGAUUUAUUAGGUUUAAAGGGUCCGCAGGCGGGCCUAUAAGUCAGUGGUGAAAUCCUGCAGCUUAACUGUAGAACUGCCAUUGAUACUGUAGGCCUUGAGUUCAGACGAGGUAGGCGGAAUAUAUAGUGUAGCGGUGAAAUGCUUAGAUACUAUAUAGAACACCGAUUGCGAAGGCAGCUUACUAGACUGUAACUGACGCUCAUGGACGAAAGUGUGGGGAGCGAACAGGAUUAGAUACCCUGGUAGUCCACACCGUAAACGAUGAUUACUAGUUGUUGGCGAUACAAUGUCAGUGACUGAGCGAAAGCAUUAAGUAAUCCACCUGGGGAGUACGUUCGCAAGAAUGAAACUCAAAGGAAUUGACGGGGGCCCGCACAAGCGGAGGAACAUGUGGUUUAAUUCGAUGAUACGCGAGGAACCUUACCCAGGCUUAAAUGUAGAUUGACAGGUUUGGAAACAGACUUUUCUUCGGACAAUUUACAAGGUGCUGCAUGGUUGUCGUCAGCUCGUGCCGUGAGGUGUCGGGUUAAGUCCCAUAACGAGCGCAACCCCUAUCGUUAGUUGCCAACAGGUCAAGCUGGGGACUCUAACGAGACUGCCAUCGUAAGAUGANAGGAAGGUGGGGAUGACGUCAAAUCAGCACGGCCCUUAUGUCUGGGGCUACACACGUGUUACAAUGGNAACUACAAAGGGCAGCCACCUNGNNACAGGGAGCUAAUCCUAAAAAGUUNNCUCAGUUCGGA